GCCCGGAUAACUCAGUCGGUAGAGCAUUG
rnacentral:ncRNA from 4 species